rnacentral:misc_RNA from 1 species
AAGUCGUAACAAGGUUUCCGUAGGUGAACCUGCGGAAGGAUCAUUACAGAUAGAUAAUAGAAGUAGAGUACCAUCUGUACAAACAGAUAGCUCUGCUUCUUGUUCUACCUACACUUAUCCCUCCAUUCUGUGAACCACUGAGACAUGAGCAUGUAUGUGCCCCUAUUUAAGAUAGGGGCAUUGAGUGCUUAUGAUCUUUUUUCCCUUCCAACUCCACUUAUGUAUGGUUGAUAAAGAGAGUGAUGUAUACACUUUGCUUUGCAGAGUUUAAAUAUAACUUUCAGCAAUGGAUCUCUUGGCUCUC